rnacentral:pre_miRNA from 1 species
UUUCGUUUUAUUUUACCACUUACUACCAAGUUGACUAGACCAGUGGUAAAAUGAGAAAAAA